UCAGUCUCAUACACAAUGGUAAGCACGUAAUUAUGCUAGUAUGAGUAGAGUAUAAUUAUAUUG
rfam:BtRf-AlphaCoV/YN2012, complete genome